rnacentral:tRNA from 1 species
UCUGAUAUCUAUUUUGGGGUUCAUGUUUCGGCCAUGAUUGUGUAAGUUUUGUCUUUCUAUCAGAU